AUUGAACGCUGGCGGCAUGCCUUACACAUGCAAGUCGAACGGCAGCACGGGAGCAAUUCUGGUGGCGAGUGGCGAACGGGUGAGUAAAGUAUCGGAACGUGCCCAGUCGUGGGGGAUAACGUAGCGAAAGUUACGCUAAUACCGCAUACGAUCUAUGGAUGAAAGCGGGGGAUCGCAAGACCUCGCGCGAUUGGAGCGGCCGAUAUCAGAUUAGGUAGUUGGGGGGGUAAAGGCUCACCAAGCCGACGAUUUGUAGCGGGGCUGAGGGGACGAACAGCCCCACGGGGACUGGAACACGGGCCAGACUCCUACGGGAGGCAGCAGUGGGGAAUGUUGGACAAUGGGCGAGAGCCUGAUCCAGCCAUGCCGCGUGCAGGAUGAAGGCCUUCGGGUUGUAAACUGCUUUUGUACGGAACGAAAAGGUUUGGCCUAAUAAGCUGAGCUCAUGACGGUACCGUAAGAAUAAGCACCGGCUAACUACGUGCCAGCCGCCGCAGUAA
rnacentral:rRNA from 1 species